rnacentral:rRNA from 1 species
GAUAAACGCUGGCGGCGUGCCUAACACAUGCAAGUCGAACGCCCUUUUGCGCAAGUGAGAGGGAGUGGCGGACGGGUGAGUACCACGUGGGUACCUACCUUGAGGUGAGGAAUACCACCGAGAAAUCGGUGACAAGACCGCAUACGCUCGGGCAACCGAGCAAAGUCAUGCAAAUGACGCCACAAGAUGAGCCUGCGCCUGAUUAGCUGGUUGGUGAGGUAACAGCUCACCAAGGCGACGAUCAGUAGCUGGUCUGAGAGGAUGAUCAGCCACACUGGGAUUGAGAACGGCCCAGAC